rnacentral:rRNA from 1 species
UACGUAGGGUGCAAGCGUUAAUCGGAAUUACUGGGCGUAAAGCGUGCGCAGGCGGCUUUGCAAGACAGAUGUGAAAUCCCCGGGCUUAACCUGGGAACUGCAUUUGUGACUGCAUGGCUAGAGUGCGGCAGAGGGGGAUGGAAUUCCGCGUGUAGCAGUGAAAUGCGUAGAUAUGCGGAGGAACACCGAUGGCGAAGGCAAUCCCCUGGGCCUGCACUGACGCUCAUGCACGAAAGCGUGGGGAGAAAACAGG